rnacentral:rRNA from 1 species
AGAGUUUGAUUAUGGCUCAGGAUGAACGCUAGCGACAGGCUUAACACAUGCAAGUCGAGGGGCAGCGGGGGAGGAAGCUUGCUUUCUCCCGCCGGCGACCGGCGCACGGGUGAGUAACACGUAUGUAACCUGCCCUCUGCCGGGGGAUAAGCGGAAGAAAUUCCGUCUAAUACCGCAUAACACACAUCCGGGGCAUCCCGGGGGUGUCAAAGGAGCAAUCCGGCAGAGGAUGGACAUGCGGCGCAUUAGCCAGUCGGCGGGGUAACGGCCCACCGAGGCGACGAUGCGUAGGGGUUCUGAGAGGAAGGUCCCCCACACUGGUACUGAGACACGGACCAGACUCCUACGGGAGGCAGCAGUGAGGAAUAUUGGUCAAUGGGCGGAAGCCUGAACCAGCCAAGUCGCGUGAGGGAAGACGGUCCUAUGGAUUGUAAACCUCUUUUGCAGGGGAGCAAGGCACGGUACGUGUACCGUGAAGGAGAGUACCCUGAGAAAAAGCAUCGGCUAACUCCGUGCCAGCAGCCGCGGUAAUACGGAGGAUGCGAGCGUUAUCCGGAUUUAUUGGGUUUAAAGGGUGCGCAGGCGGACUGUUAAGUCAGCGGUAAAAUGUCGGUGCUCAACACCGGCCGGCCGUUGAAACUGGCAGCCUUGAGUGAGCGAG